rnacentral:rRNA from 1 species
GAUGAACGCUGGCGGCGUGCCUAAUACAUGCAAGUCGAGCGAACGGACGAGAAGCUUGCUUCUCUGAUGUUAGCGGCGGACGGGUGAGUAACACGUGGAUAACCUACCUAUAAGACUGGGAUAACUUCGGGAAACCGGAGCUAAUACCGGAUGAUAUUUUGAACCGCAUGGUUCAAAAGUGAAAGACGGUCUUGCUGUCACUUAUAGAUGGAUCCGCGCUGCAUUAGCUAGUUGGUAAGGUAACGGCUUACCAAGGCAACGAUGCAUAGCCGACCUGAGAGGGGGAACGGCCCAACGGGGAACUGAGACACGGCCCGAACCCCAAGGGGGGGAAGAGGAGGGAAUUUUCCCGAAGUGGGGAAAGGCCGAACGAGGAAACCCCGGGGAGGGAAGAAGGGUUUUGGAAUGGAAAACCCUUUUUUUUGGGAAAAAAAAAUGUGGAAGUAAACUUGCACGAUUUUAACGGAACCAAACAAAAAACCCCCGGCAAACUCCUG